rnacentral:rRNA from 1 species
UUGGGAAUCUUGGACAAUGGGGGAAACCCUGAUCCAGCCAUGCCGCGUGAGUGAUGAAGGCCUUCGGGUUGUAAAACUCUUCCGACGGGGACGAUAAUGACGGUACCCGUAGAAGAAGCUCCGGCUAACUUCGUGCCAGCAGCCGCGGUAAUACGAAGGGGGCUAGCGUUGUUCGGAAUUACUGGGCGUAAAGCGCGCGCAGGCGGCUAUCCAAGUCAGUGGUGAAAGCCCGGAGCUCAACUCCGGAACUGCCAUUGAAACUGUUUAGCUUGAGGACGAGAGAGGUGAGUGGAAUUCCCAGUGUAGAGGUGAAAUUCGUAGAUAUUGGGAAGAACACCGGUGGCGAAGGCGGCUCACUGGCUCGUCUCUGACGCUCAGGCGCGACAGCGUGGGGAUCAAACAGGAUUAGAUACCCUGGUAGUCCACGCCGUAAACGAUGAUUGCUAGCCGUUGGGCAGCUUGCUGUUCAGUGGCGCAGCUAACGCAUUAAGCAAUCCGCCUGGGGAGUACGGCCGCAAGGUUG